ACAUGCCUAUAACAUAGCAUUAAUGCAACGGAUCCCAUUAGAACUCUGCAGUUAAGUGUGCUCAGGCUAGAGUAGUACUGGGAUGGGUGACCGCUUAAGAAGUCCUAGUGUUUUACAUGCC
rnacentral:rRNA from 1 species